rnacentral:rRNA from 1 species
ACGAACGCUGGCGGCGUGCCUAAUACAUGCACGUAGAACGCUGAAGGAGGAGCUUGCUUCUCUGGAUGAGUUGCGAACGGGUGAGUAACGCGUAGGUAACCUGCCUGGUAGUGGGGGAUAACUAUUGGAAACGAUAGCUAAUACCGCAUAAUAGCAGUUGUUGCAUGAUAACUGUUUGAAAGGUGCAAUUGCACCGCUACCAGAUGGACCUGCGUUGUAUUAGCUAGUUGGUGGGGUAACGGCUCACCAAGGCGACGAUACAUAGCCGACCUGAGAGGGUGAUCGGCCACACUGGGACUGAGACACGGCCCAGACUCCUACGGGAGGCAGCAGUAGGGAAUCUUCGGCAAUGGACGGAAGUCUGACCGAGCAACGCCGCGUGAGUGAAGAAGGUUUUCGGAUCGUAAAGCUCUGUUGUAAGAGAAGAACGAGUGUGAGAGUGGAAAGUUCACACUGUGACGGUAUCUUACCAGAAAGGGACGGCUAACUACGUG